UCCCUCCCUCUCCGUCUCCCCCUUUCCACCCGCCCAAGGAGACAUCAACCGUUGCGUGGGGCUCGCUCCCAGUCUCCCCCUUUCCGCCCUAGAAGUAGAAGACGACAUUACCGACCGGCGAGCGUGAGACGACCGCCGCUGGACGAUAUUCCGACGGACGCCGGGUCUGUCUCUCUCUCCCUCCCCGUUUCAUCCUUUCCACCCGAGCAUCCUUCUUCUCGCCUGCAGAGGACGACAUUACCGAUCGGCGGACGUGAGACGACCGCCACUGCUCGAGACUUGGACGCUAAGGUUCUUCCCUGUUCAGACCAUACCGACCGUCGCCGGAGUCACCAUCGCCGCCGCUGGACAGUGGGUUGCCGCUGUUCAUUGUUUUCCCCGCACACCUCGAAAAUUGAAGGUUUCCUGUUUCGCUGCUCGGGUUUCUUUCUCUCCCGAUUGUCUCCAGACUCACCGCUGGCUGCCGGCGAUUCCAUCUCUCGCUUUCUCUCUCGCGUGAGCGCACGUUCUCGUUUCAGACCGCUAUCUUUCUCUGCUCCAAAUCUAUCUCAUGGUUCAUUGCUCAACUGGAGUUUGAUUUGUCUUGUUAAUUUGUUGGCUUUUCUCAUCAUACAGUAUACUGGUCAAAGAAAAGCCUCUCCGUGUUUCAUUUGUGUAUCUGCGGUCUGCUUCCAUUCUUCUUCAUGGUUUUAAUGAGAAGCAAUGGGAAAACCUGCUCUUCAGACCACCAAUCUAAACUCUUUCAUGUACACCCUUACGAGCCACAAAAUGACACAGAAACCUCUUUGAGAGAGGCCUUCUCUUUAGUACAUUCAAGGCUAAAACCACCAUUCUCACCAUCCCUUCUCUCACAAACAGAUUACAUCCUACUCAAUAGGGCGCUUCUCUAUGGUAUUUUGACGCAAUCACCAUUAGCCAGAAUCCACUACACUCAUCUUUGUGCUAUUGUCACAGAUGGAUACAAGUUCUUUAUAGGGUUGCUCCUGAAAAUGGUGAAUGACACAUACAUGAAACUCCUGCAACCUGUGAAGGCCCAGGUGUUGUGGGUAUGUGAUAGACUGAUUGAUGCUGAAGCUGCUGGGAUCGAUGAGUUGUUAGUUUAUCUGUUGAGACAGAUUAUUGGUGGUGAUUACAGCAGUGAGAACCUCUGGUUGUCGAAUGAGCUCAUUCUGGUUUUGAGACGUAAUUGGGAAUGGGUUUUAGGUCAUGAAUUUCUGGUUGGUGCAUCUGUGUAUAGUUUUCUCCGCCUUUUGGCGGAUCACUAUAGAUUAGCAAGUCAAUCAGUUGAUGCCCUUAAGCAGAAUGAGUUAGGAUUCUGCAUCAUGGUGUUGAGGAAGCACUUUGGUAUGUGCCUCAGCAUAGGAAGAGACCUUGUUCGCCUACUGCAGGAUGUAGCAAUCAUUCCUGAAUUUCAAACCCUUUGGAUGGACUUGCUUACAAAUCCAAGCGCCUUUGGGGUUCUGGGGUUCUCUGAUAUCUCACACAUUUAUCGGAUUAGGACUUCAACUCGGUAUCUUUCAUUGAGGAUCACACCUGAAAUGGAGUCCAAUUUGAGGUUCUUGCUUACGAAUGUUAAAUGGGGCAAUCAGAAGAGGUACCAGCUUUGGUUCAAAAGCAAGUUUUUGUGUAGCACGGAGAGGGAGACUCUCGUUCCUGAUUUGGUUCGGUUUAUAUGUUGUGCAGUUCAUCCUUCCCCUGAAACUCUACACUCCAAUGUGAUCUCAAGAUGGGCAAUUAUUGGUUGGUUGCUCAAGUGUUGUAUUCAUAGGCAUUAUUAUGAAGCUAAUGCAAAGCUUGCUAUGUUCUAUGAUUGGUUGUUCUUUGAUGAGAGAGUGGAUGAUUUCAUGAGUCUUGAGCCUGUUAUACUCUUGAUUGCAAACUCCAUUCCCCAGUAUGUUGACAUCACAAAUACCCUUUUGGAAUUUUUGUUUCUAGUUAUGGAUAAUUAUGAUGUUAGUAGAAAGGAUAUCAUAGUCAGUGGCGUGUCUAAUUCUUUUGGCGUAUUGGUCAAGAAGGGGCUUGUUGAUUUAAUGAAAUUAAGCUCUUGCUCUUUGUUGUUGCCAUUUUUGAGGGAUAGGCUUAGGUUUUUCUGUCAAGGCCAAUCCCUGUAUGACAGUGAAUAUUUACUUCUAAAAAAAAGGCGAGUUUUUGUUCCGUCGGAUGAAAACAAAUCAGCAAAUGUUCACCCUAAGCCGGUGGAUGGUAUUGGAAACAACAAAAUGCUCCAAGUGCAAGACUACUCGUAGAAGAUUUGCUACAGGCUUGUAUAAACAGCCCAAUGUCUUUUUGUUGGUAGUUUCUUGUCUGCUAUUUAUCAUCUCAAAAUUUUGAUUCAUGUUUUGUACUUGCAAGUGCUGUACCUCUGUCACUUGAUAUGGUUCUUAUUUGUAUUGUCAGUGUGUACAGGAAGUCCUCUGGAUCUUGGUUUCUCUAACAUACUGGCUGUCAAUUCAAAUAAUUUUGAAGAGAUUUGGAAUCCAUCAACUUCAGAAGUUCAAGGUAGCAUUCCCGAUUGUUGGAGGGACAUUCACAAAAUUCCUUCUGUUGGCAAUCCCCAAAAUUUUAUGCUAUUAUGGAGUUCUUUGCUUUUCUCCAAAUUAAUUUCAUAAAGUUGUUACUUUAAGGGGCACUUGAUGGACAAAAACGACUUUCAGGUGUCCUUCUUAGGAGUUCAUCUUCGCCGUACAUGCUAGCAAAUUCACAACUCUCUGAGAAUUUUUUUCUCUUUCACAAGGAUUCCAGGUGGCGCAUGUUUCACAUCUUUGUGAGAAUGAACGAGUUUUUACAGAAAAACGAAAGAAGUGGUUGCGCUGUGAUUGCAAUGGUGAGAAAGUGGGUAUUUGCAGGUUGUAUGAAAUUGACAUCUGAAAACGUUGUACAGCAGUGGCUAAUGUUUCUUUGCAAGUGAUGUUGAUUUACUACCCGACUCAACUAGAAUGUUUGUGUUGACUGCUGAGAAAUGUACGAAAUGAAUAGAAUGCCAACCUUCAAAACCGGUAAAAUAUGGCAAUACGUCAAACUGGUGUAUAGUUAUUUCAUCCUGUCCCUUUGUUUACGUCAGUUGCGAACUUGGAAAUGCCAUGCCCGAUCUUGGGAUG